UACGUAGGGGGCAAGCGUUGUCCGGAUUUAUUGGGCGUAAAGAGCGUGUAGGCGGUUCGGUAGGUCCGUUGUGAAAACUCGAGCUCAACCUCGAGACGCCGAUGGAAACCCCCGAACUAGAGUCCGGAAGAGGAGAGUGGAAUUCCUGGUGUAGCGGUGAAAUGCGCAGAUAUCAGGAAGAACACCGGUGGCGAAGGCGCCACUCUGGGCCGAAACUGACGCUGAGGAGCGAAAGCGUGGGUAGCAAACAGG
rnacentral:rRNA from 1 species